UCGGGAAUUUUGGGCAAUGGGCGAAAGCCUGACCCAGCAACGCCGCGUGAGGGAUGAAGUAUUUCGGUAUGUAAACCUCGAAAGAAUGGGAAGAAUAAAUGACGGUACCAUUUAUAAGCUCCGGCUAACUACGUGCCAGCAGCCGCGGUAAUACGUAGGGAGCAAGCGUUGUUCGGAUUUACUGGGCGUAAAGGGCGCGUAGGCGGCGCGGUAAGUCACUUGUGAAAUCUCUGAGCUUAACUCAGAACGGCCAAGUGAUACUGCUGUGCUAGAGUGCGGAAGAGGCAACCGUAAUUCUUGGUGUAGCGGUGAAAUGCGUAGAUAUCAAGAGGAACACCUGAGGCGAAGGCGGGUUGCUGGGCCGACACUGACGCUGAUGCGCGAAAGCCAGGGGAGCAAACG
rnacentral:rRNA from 1 species